CCUGGGGGAGAGGGAAGCUGAGUGAUCAGCGAAGGGGUAAGUGUGCUCGAAGAAGCCCCUUCCCUCUCUUAUGACCUCUCUAGCGUCAGGACACUCAGGAUAGUGUUCAUUUCCUCUGGGUCCAGGUCUCAUUCUCUCCCCAGACCCUCUUCCUACCGGGAACCCGAGAUCUUCUUUCGAGGCUCACCUCCCCCCCACAUCCGGGGGGUGAUUUCCCACUUGACCAAAGCGCCAAGAUUUGAGCAUUUCUACCUUAUUUGCUCAGACCCUGUACAUCAAAACAAUGUCAUUGCUACUGUCAUGAGAAACUUUAGAAUUCAGGACCCUGAAGAAGCUGCCAUUUUUCACCCAUGAAGUCAAUGAAUGUUGGCUGAAAGGGAUCUUAAGAGGCCAUUUAGUCCAAGCUUUGACCUGGUCAGGAAUCCCAGAUGAUCACGGACGUGCAGCUGGCCAUCUUCGCCAACAUGCUGGGCGUGUCGCUCUUCCUGCUCGUGGUUCUCUAUCACUACGUGGCGGUCAAUAACCCUAAGAAGCAGGAGUGAGGCGGCGCGGCCCCCCGCAGAUGGCUCUGCGCUCUGGAGGAAGCGUUUUCGGGCUCAUCUCUCCUGCCUGCUCAGAGCCGAGGAUGCCACAAGCCUGAGCCACGCAAAGGCCCCGAGGGACGCGGAGAAGCCUGCCACCAGGACCAAAAGCCUCGAAGAGGAUGGGAAGCAGCUGCUCCAAGGCUGAGGGGUUUGGGCCCCUAUUAAACAUCCCCCUCCUCUUUUGAA
rnacentral:lncRNA from 1 species